GUAAUGGUAAAGAGCAUGGACUCUAGAGCCAGACCACUGGGAUCAAAUUCAACUCUUGAACUUUCUAACUGUGUGGUUUGGGGAAGUACCUAUGAUCCUGUCCAGGUCUAGAACUACUACUCCUGACUCCUGCCCAUGAAGUUGCUUCCUACUCCACUUUGUUCACCCCCGUUACCCUUCAGCACCUUGGCCAGAUGCCAGAAAGUCCAUUGUGCCCUAGCCUAAGCCUCAGCCACGGGCUGCUGUGCUGUGCUGUCCACCAGCCUCACCUGGCACCUCUCAGUGCAGGGCAGCUGAGAGAUGGCUGCGAGGCUGCAUAGACAAUUAUAUAAUUCUAGCCACAUCACAAAAACACUAUCCAAUGGUAGCUUUCAAAUAAAACUUAUAACAAUGAGGACUGAUGAUAUUUUGUUGGCUCACAAACCACAAGAGUUCAGAUGCAAACGCAAUGCAGUCUCCAGACUAAGGAAACUGAUAAUACAUGCAAUCUCUACACCAUCUUGUGUGCAAUUUUGUAUGUAGUUAAUGUCUU
rnacentral:lncRNA from 1 species